UCGCGGCGGAUUAGCUAGUUGGCGGGGUAACGGCCCACCAAGGCUUCGAUCCGUAGCCGGCCUGAGAGGGCGGACGGCCACACUGACACUGAAUACACGGGUCAGACUCCUACGGGAGGCAGCAGUCGGGAAUUUUGGGCAAUGGGCGCAAGCCUGACCCAGCAACGCCGCGUGAAGGAUGAAGUUUUUCGGAAUGUAAACUUCACAAGAACUGGAAGAUUAAGCGCGUGUUAAUAGCACGCGUGAUGUCGGUACAGUUUGUAAGCUCCGGCUAACUUCGUGCCAGCAGCCGCGGUAAUACGAGGGGAGCAAGCGUUGUUCGGAUUUACUGGGCGUAAAGGGCGCGUAGGCGGCACUACAAGUCACCUGUGAAAACUGCGGGCUCAACCCGCGAGCUGCCAGGUGAAACUGUAGAGCUAGAGUGCGGAAGGGGCAACUGGGAAUUCUCGGUGUAGCGGUGAAAUGCGUAG
rnacentral:rRNA from 1 species